UGCGCAGGCGGUUUUGUAAGACAGGUGUGAAAUCCCCGGGCUUAACCUGGGAACUGCGCUUGUGACUGCAAGACUGGAGUGCGGCAGAGGGGGGUGGAAUUCCACGUGUAGCAGUGAAAUGCGUAGAGAUGUGGAGGAACACCGAUGGCGAAGGCAGCCCCCUGGGUCGACACUGACGCUCAGGCACGAAAGCGUGGGGAGCAAACAGGAUUAGAUACCCUGGUAGUCCACGCCCUAAACGAUGCGAACUAGGUGUUGGGGAAGGAGACUUCUUUAGUACCGCAGCUAACGCGUGAAGUUCGCCGCCUGGGGAGUACGGUCGCAAGAUUAAA
rnacentral:rRNA from 1 species